CAGUUGUGAGGAAAAGUUAGUAGUUAAUACCUGCUAGCCGUGACGUUAACAACAGAAGAAGCACCGGCUAACUCCGUGCCAGCAGCCGCGGUAAUACGGAGGGUCCGAGCGUUAUCCGGAAUCAUUGGGUUUAAAGGGUCCGCAGGCGGCCAGAUAAGUCAGUGGUGAAAUUCCGUGGCUCAACCACGGAACUGCCAUUGAUACUGUUUGGCUUGAAUCAGUUCGAGGAUGCCGGAAUGUGUGGUGUAGCGGUGAAAUGCAUAGAUAUCACACAGAACACCAAUUGCGAAGGCAGGUGUCCAGAACUGUAUUGACGCUGAUGGACGAAAGCGUGGGUAGCGAACAGGAUUAGAUACCCUGGUAGUCCACGCCGUAAACGAUGGUCACUAGCUGUCCGGACUUAGGUCUGGGUGGCCAAGCGAAAGUGAUAAGUGACCCACCUGGGGAGUACGUUCGCAAGAAUGAAACUCAAAGGAAUUGACGGGGGCUCACACAAGCGGUGGAGGAUGUGGCUUAAUUCGAGGCUACGCGAAGAACCUUAUCCUAGACUUGACAUGCUUGAGAAUCCCUAUGAAAGUAGAGAGUGCCCUUCGGGGAGCUCUUGCACAGGUGCUGCAUGGCUGUCGUCAGCUCGUGUCGUGAGAUGUCGGGUUAAGUCCCUUAACGAGCGAAACCCUUAUCUUUAGUUGCCAGCGGGUAAUGCCGGGGACUCUAAAGAGACUGCCGGUGUCAAACCGGAGGAAGGUGGGGAUGACGUCAAGUCCUCAUGGCCUUUAUGUCUAGGGCUGCACACGUCCUACAAUGGCACGGACAAACGGACGCAAUACCGCGAGGUGGAGCAAAUCCUAGAAACCGUGCCUCAGUUCGGAUUGCAGGCUGCAACUCGCCUGCAUGAAGUUGGAAUCGCUAGUAAUCGCGGAUCAGCUACGCCGCGGUGAAUAUGUUCCUGAGCCUUGUACACACCGCCCGUCAAGCCAUGGAAGCUGGGAGUGCCUGAAGUCCGUCGCCGUAAGGAGCGGCCUAGGGUAAGACCGGUAACUGGGGCUAAGUCGUAACAAGGUAGCCGUACCGGAAGGUGCGGCUG
rnacentral:rRNA from 1 species